rnacentral:rRNA from 1 species
GAUGAACGCUGGCGGCGUGCCUAAUACAUGCAAGUCGAGCGAACAGACGAGGAGCUUGCUUCUCUGAUGUUAGCGGCGGACGGGUGAGUAACACGUGGAUAACCUACCUAUAAGACUGGGAUAACUUCGGGAAACCGGAGCUAAUACCGGAUAAUAUAUUGAACCGCAUGGUUCAAUAGUGAAAGACGGUCUUGCUGUCACUUAUAGAUGGAUCCGCGCCGCAUUAGCUAGUUGGUAAGGUAACGGCUUACCAAGGCAACGAUGCAUAGCCGACCUGAGAGGGUGAUCGGCCACACUGGAACUGAGACACGGUCCAGACUCCUACGGGAGGCAGCAGUAGGGAAUCUUCCGCAAUGGGCGAAAGCUUGACGGAGCAACGCCGCGUGAGUGAUGAAGGUCUUCGGAUCGUAAAACUCUGUUAUUAGGGAAGAACAAAUGUGUAAGUAACUAUGCACGUCUUGACGGUACCUAAUCAGAAAGCCACGGCUAACUACGUG